rnacentral:rRNA from 1 species
UACGUAGGGGGGCAAGCGUUGUCCGGAAUCAUUGGGCGUAAAGCGCGUGUAGGCGGCCCGGUAAGUCCGCUGUGAAAGUCGGGGGCUCAACCCUCGAAAGCCGGUGGAUACUGUCGGGCUCGAGUACGGGAGAGGCGAGUGGAAUUCCUGGUGUAGCGGUGAAAUGCGCAGAUAUCAGGAGGAACACCGAUUGCGAAGGCAGCUCGCUGGAACGUUACUGACGCUGAGACGCGAAACGUGGGGAGCAAACAGG